rnacentral:misc_RNA from 1 species
AACGCACCUUGCGCCCCUUGGUAUUCCGAGGGGCAUGCCUGUUUGAGUGUCAUGUUAAUCUCAAUCUCCUCGUCUUUUGUUACUUUCUUAACUGAAAGGAAAAGGGACUUUGGGGGUUGGACUUGGAGGUCUUGCUGGCCCUAUCUUUUGUGGUCGGCUCCUCUUAAAUGCAUUAGCUGAACUUUGGUUCGCGUGAUGUUGUCGGUGUAAUAGUUUUAUUCACUGCUGUUCCGCGCUUGCCUAAUGGGUUCGCUUCUAAUUGUCUUCGGACAAGGCUGCUUGAAGCCUUCUUGACCUUUGACCUCAAAUCAGGUAGGACUACCCGCUGAACUUAA